UACGUAGGGGGCUAGCGUUGUCCGGAAUCAUUGGGCGUAAAGAGCGCGUAGGCGGCUGGAAUAGUCCGGUGUGAAAUCCACAGGCUUAACCUGUGAAUGCCGCUGGAAACUGUCUGGCUAGAGUCCGGAAGGGGCGAGUGGAAUUCCUGGUGUAGCGGUGAAAUGCGCAGAUAUCAGGAGGAACACCAAUGGCGAAGGCAGCUCGCUGGGACGGUACUGACGCUGAGGCGCGAAAGCUAGGGGAGCAAACAGG
rnacentral:rRNA from 1 species